rnacentral:rRNA from 1 species
CUACGGGUUGCAGCAGUGAGGAAUUUUGCGCAAUGGGGGAAACCCUGACGCAGCAACGCCGCGUGAGUGAAGAAGGCUUUCGGGUCGUAAAGCUCUGUCAGAUAGGAAAAAAGUUCAUAUGUAAAUAGCUUAUGAAUCUGAUGGUACUAUCAGAGGAAGCACCGGCUAACUCCGUGCCAGCAGCCGCGGUAAUACGGAGGGUGCAAGCGUUGUUCGGAAUUACUGGGCGUAAAGGGCGUGUAGGCGGUAUGGUAAGUCAGAUGUGAAAGCCCUGGGCUUAACUCAGGAAGUGCAUUUGAUACUGGCAUGCUUGAGUAUGGGAGAGGAGAGUAGAAUUCCCAGUGUAGAGGUGAAAUUCGUAGAUAUUGGGAGGAAUACCAGUGGCGAAGGCGACUCUCUGGACCAAUACUGACGCUGAGACGCGAAAGCGUGGGGAGCAAACAGGAUUAGAUACCCCCGUAGUC